rnacentral:tRNA from 1 species
GGGAAUGUGGCUUAGUGGUAGAGUACUUGCUUAGCAUGCAUGAAGCCCUGGGUUUGAUUCCUCAUUACCA